AAAUUUUCAUACUAUGUAAGUAUAUUUGCACAUAAAGUGUUCGAUGUUUUGCUCAAGUGAAUUUGUUUUUUAUUGCAGUUUGUGGAGUACAGCAAGAUGAUAUACUUGGAUGGAGACAUACAGGUUUUUGACAACAUAGAUCACCUAUUUGAUUUGCCAAAUGCGUAUUUCUAUGCUGUGAUGGACUGUUUUUGUGAGAAGACAUGGAGUCACACCCCACAAUUCAAGAUUGGGUAUUGCCAACAGUGCCCGGAUAAGGUCCAUUGGCCUCAAGAAUUGGGUCUCAAGCCUCCUCUUUAUUUCAAUGCUGGGAUGUUUGUCUUUGAACCAAGUCUCCCCACCUACCAUGAUCUCUUGCACAAACUCAAAAUUACAACCCCAACUUCAUUUGCUGAGCAGGUAAUACAGAACAGCCAUUAAUCAGAAAAUUCCUUGACAAGUAUUUGUUUGAAACGAAAUUUAAAGUGUAUUAAAUGUCACAUUUGCAGGAUUUCUUGAACAUGUUCUUCAGGGAUAUUUACAAGCCAAUUCCCAAUAAUUACAACUUGGUUUUGGCAAUGAUGUGGCGCCAUCCCGAGAAUGUGAAGCUUGAUGAAGUUAAGGUGGUCCACUACUGUGCUGCAGGCUCCAAACCAUGGAGGUAUACUGGAGAAGAAGAAAACAUGGACAGAGAAGACAUCAAGAUGCUAGUCAACAAGUGGCGGGACAUUUAUAACGACGAGACAUUGAAUUACAACAGGGGUCCCGGUCGUAGUGCUAAAUCGACACCGGCGCUGCUUGAGGAGGCUGGUGUUGUUCAUUACAUCCCCGCUCCUUCGGCUGCUUAGUUUUGUCCUUUUGGUUGCUUAAUUAGGUUUUGAAUCUCAAAAGCUACUGAGUAAUUGAAUUGGCUCGAGUUUUUCAUGAAGCCAGUCCUCCAAGUAGCAUCUUUUUUCUUUUAUUUUUUUUAUUAGGGGAACGAAUUUAUGAAGUUCUCCUUGAUAUUGAUUGGAUUGUUGCUUUGUAAACAUUUAAAAAAUAUAUUUAUAUGAUAUUGUAAAUGUUACUCAAUGUUGUUAGGGAAAAUUCAUUGUAACCUUUCAUUGAGCAGGAUUUAAAAAUAUGAUAUUCAAAUAUGGAAUAUGAAUAAUUCGAUAAUAUCAAAAGUUGCCAUUGGCACUAAAAACGGUGAUGAAAACAGAGAAAAAUAUUCAGAGCAACCAUGGCUAGUAAUCAUAACAUUUUCGCAACCUUGGGUAAAGUUUGUAGUUUAGGAUUCAUUGGAAUUCUUCAGAUCUAAGUUCACCAGCAAACAAACAAUAUUUGGUAAACAAAGAUUUUCCUCAUCAUAAUUAUGUUUUAAUAAUUGUUGUUUUCCUGAAUAAUUCCUUGUAUACAAGGAAUUAUCUCACAGGGUCUUUACAAACCCUGAUAACCCCAUGUGAUUUUUAUUUAUUUAUUAUUUUUUAAAAAAUGAAUCACACAUCCCACCUGUCGUGUCUUUGUUUGUACCGACCCUGUGAAGUCCGAUCUUGUAUAUAUAGUGCGGUUGUAUUUUUCUUAAUAUUUCUUGCAUGGAAAACAAAGAGAAUUAUUUUGCCAAUUAUAAUAAACUCGUGUUUGGUAAAACAUUUUUCAAUUUUGAGUGGUUCAUUUUUUUUUUUAACCACACAUUUUAUUGGAAACAACAUGUAUAAUUUCAAAAAUCUUCGACAAGCAAGAGCUAAAGCAACAGGUUCAAUUACUGAUCACAACUACGGUUAAUAGUAAUUGGCAUGCAUUGAUGAGUGGAGGGAUUCUGAACAUCAUCAUUUAGUACAAUUCAACGUAACUAUUUUUAACAUUAAACAUUUUGCAUUACACAACUCUAAUACGAAGUAACAAGCGUGUGUUUGUAUAUAUAUAUAUAUAUAUAUAUAUAUAUAUAUAUGUACAUGUUGCUUCUCUUGCUUUAUCCCUCUUACAUUCUUUUAUUUUCCAUAUUUUCAUUACUUAUUUUUCAUUCUUCUACGGUAAAUGAAGAUUGAAAACAUCCAUUUUACAAGACAACUGUAGUAUAAGGAUUAAAAAAUGAAAUUAAAAAUAAUUGAGCAGCUUGAGUUUGCUCGAUAUAUUUAAUAGUAUUUUAUAAUGUCACACAUUAACAAUCCUAAUGUCGUACAAUUUUAUAUUAAAAACAGUCAUUCUAUAGACUACACAUAUACUUGGAUACAAGAAGUCUAAUACAAUUGAUGUACAGAAACUGAACAUAAAUGCAUUGAAGUUGUAUGUAACUUCAUCUCCAACAAAUAGACACUGCAUAUAUUAAAAAUUAGAAUUUUGCUAUUUGUCCGGAUUUUUUUGUCCGAAUGGUUAACAUCCUCUAUAAUGCCGUGGAUUCGGCAUAAGUAAAAAAGUCCAAAAAAAAAAAAGUGGGGCCCCGCCAUUGUGAGAGUCGGUCACCUCCUCCGUCAAAAAAAUUUGAGUACUGUAGCGGAAUUGUUAUUUGGGUUACUACAAAGUAAAUGCAAUUUCUUGUAUAAAAUUUGAUCCAAUUUUUUUGGGCCAUUUGCAAAAUAGCGUCGGGUCGCCAAAAUGAGGUAAGGAUUAGUAGUAAAGUCAAAUAGUGAGCAGUGAGUCAAGUUUGAUGAGUCGUUGCUUCCUUCCAACCAUUAAUUGUUAAUAUUAUCCUAAAUUAAUUAUCUUUUUCUUAUCCUAAACUUUUUUAGACUUUUAGACCAACAAAACUAGAAAUAUUGAACAAACGCAGCAGCACACGUUUAGUGGGUCCGUUCAAUGAUUAACUAGUCUAAGACACGCCUGGGACAUAUCUCAGUGGUGCAAAGGACAGGAAUAAGUUAGUCUCAAUCUUGCUGACAGUCGCAAUUUGAGAGUUCGAUUCAUGAGAUAUGAAAUUGAACUCUUUGUGGAUAUCAGUGUACAGGAAAGCUCUUAUCCCCUGGCCUGCUGAGGCAUAUCCCAUUAUUUACCUCCCUCACGAUACUCCAAUGACAGAAUGGUGAGGACCUUCAAGAUUGAGGUUCAAUCUUAACUAGUCUAAGACACAAUAUAGUCGGCUACGGUUGCAAUUUAGUCAACCUUUUAUUAGGAACGAAACAUGUACCUAACUUCAAUAAACAUUUAUUAUUUAUAAUAGUACUGCUGAAAGCACCGUUUUGAAUGAAGUAUCAAAUUUAUAUAAUUGUCAAUUUAUUUCACAUCCGUGUAGGUGAAAGCACUAGUGACAUUAGGGUUGGACAAAAUUCUCGAACCAAGUCGAUUAAAUCAGAUCCGACUCAAAUUGAAUCGAAUCGAAUGGUUCUUCUUAAAUUAAAUACCCGAAUGAGUAUCUAAAUUAAGAACUAACGAGUUUGGUUCGAUUUUCAGUUCUAGAUCAUGAAAUGAAGAAACGUAUAAAAAUCGAAUCUCCUUAAAUUUUUAAUUUAUUUAUUUUAAAUAAGUCAAAUUAUUUUAUUUUUUCUAAAUAAAUCUACUAACUAAUUAAUUUAAAUCAAAAUAAGAAAUAUGAUUUUUCUAUUUUUAAUUUCAGUUCAAGUCCAAUUUAAUCAAAUUGAUAUAAGUUUUACUCAAAUCUGUCAUUCUAUCGUAGUACCGUUUCUACCAUUCUAGAGAAAUCAAAUUAAAGCCUCACGACACCUAUCUUUAUUAUUGUGAGUUCGGUAUCUUCAUUUUCACGUGAUUUUGACAAUCAAAUUUAUAAAGCACUUAUCAAAGAGAUACGUAAAAGAUAUAGAAGAUUGGACUACGUUAUUUUGUAAGAAUUAAAAUUGAACGUGUCAUUAGUUGAAUUAAUGUAACUUUGUAAAUAUAAUAAAAUUUAAUUAUAGUAGAGAACUUGGGAAUCGAAUUGAACUGAAUGGAACCGAGCUCUAACGGUUCCAUAAUUAAAUUUGGACCGACGAUUUCACUUACUAAAUACCCGAAAUUUUUGGGUCCAAUCGGAUCAUAUCCUGCCCUAAGUGACAUUAAAUUACAUGUUCAGUUAUAAAUACAAUGAAUUAUGACACAUUGGUACUAGAUAAACUCAAGUGGCAAUUAAGUGCCAUUGAGUACAACUAAAUGGUGAAAAGGUGUCAUUACGAAAAAUUGCCAUGGAAACUAAGAGCGGACAUGAUGUGGUUCAUCCAGUUCCAAUAAAAGUUAGACAUUAUCAAACUCCAAUCGAUAUCUACUAAUAAUACCAAAAUGGUUCUACGUACUCUAUCAGAAAACAAAAAACAAAUGAACAAGAAUUCAACGCUUUGCCCUCGGAGAUGAAUUUUGGACGGAGUUGUGUAACUAAUAGGCGUUUAGAUUCGGGACCUCCGAAUGGCAGAAGAGCAUUGUGCUUAGCAUACUGAACUCAAUUGAUUAAUUUCGAUUCAAUCUUUUAAGUGCGAAAUUUGAGUCCAUACAUCAUCCUUUGACACAUCUAUUCUUGUUUUAUCCACUUUUCUUAUUACAAUUUUGCUAAAUAAAAAGAAUGAGACGGUGCUUCCAACCAUUGGUUAUUUCUAUUAUCCUUAAUUAUCUUUUUCUUAUCCUAAAUGUUUCAAAGUUUAGACCGGCUAACAAAACUAGAAAUUACUUGUUAAAAAAAAAAUAGAUAUGUGGGAACAAUUGAGCUAAAGAAGGUGAUUUAUUGACACGUGGAAAAUCAUUAGAAAUUACACACGCUUUGUGGGUCCUAUUUAAUGGUUAAAUAGUCGAACUGAGGUGGUUGCAAUUUAAUAAAACUUUUAAAAUUCUUUGCUAAGACAUGCAUCCAGCUUUAGGCCCCGUUUGAUAAUUGAUUUUUUGACCGUUAAGAAAAAAGUGGGAGUCACCUGUGAAAGAAGAAGUCAAACUUUACGGCUAAAAUAGUGAAAUAACAAUAAAAAAAUCAAUUUUUUUAAGUGAAAAAUCACUCUCAAACGGCCCCUUAAUAAACAUAUAACUAUUUAUUUAGAGGAAUGUACAUACAAAAUUUACAUAUUUGUAUUAUUUAAUUUUAUAUACACUUUAACGGUUAAGUGAAAACUAUAAUAACGAGAUCAAAAAAUUAUAAUAGUGAGAAAAUUAUGUAAUGUUAUAACAAUUGAGCUCAAAACUUGAAUGCUAAUUAUGUGUCGCUAAGUAAAAUUACACGAACAAAUGAAAAUUCACUUGAUAUUGAAUGUAAAAUUGUCACCACAUAAAUUUUGCUAUAAUAAUUGGAAGUGUACAUUGUUCGAUAAGGGUCUUUUUUCAAUAAAAAAAUUAAGAACUGAACUAGUCAAAUACAAAUUGAAAUCUCGCGAAUAUCUAUUAAUAAUUAACAUAAAUUAGUUCAGUAGUUGAUUUAGUGAAUGUUUGGUUGGUGUUGAAGUAAUAAUUUUAGCAAUUAUAAAUUGUAGUUUUAAUAGAAUUAAUGAAUAAUAAGUUAAUAGUAAUUAUGAAUCAAACAAACGCUUGUUUGAAUUUCAUUAUAAUAUAUGUAUCUAUUAAUAUUCAUUUAUUAUUUACAUAUUUCGUGAGACACAUUACUCAUUUUCACUGUAAUCACAUUACAACUUUUUUUCAAAUCAAAAGUAUUUAUGUUUGACUAAAAGUGAUUAUAUAAUAAAUCACCAACAAUUUAUGUAAGUAAUUGAAACAUUAGACUCUUUAAUAUCCAAUUUUAAAAUGCAGGAUUACUAAAUUUUAUCGAGACAAUCUAAAAUCGAAUUGGCUCGAGUUUUUCGUGAAGCCGAUUCUCCAAGUAGCAACUUUUUUCUUUUCUUCUUUUAUCAGGGGAAUGAAUUUGUAAAGUUCUCCUUGAUAUUAAUUUCUUGGAUUGUUGCUUUGUAAACAUUUAAAAAUUAUAUUUAUAUGAUAUUGUAAAUGUUACUCAAUGUUGUUGGGGAAAAUCCGUCGUAACCUUUCAUUGAACAGGAUUAAAAAAUAUGAUAUUCAAAUGUGGAAUAUGAAUGUCAAAAGCUGCCAUUGGCACUAAAAACGGUGACGAAAACAGAGAAAAAUAUUCAGAGGAACCAUGGCUAUUAAUCAUAACAUUUUCCCAACCUUCGGUAAAGUUUGUAGUUUAGGAUUCAUUCGAAUUCUUUAGGUCUAAGUUCACCAGCAAACAACAAUAUUUGGUAAACAAAGAUUUUCAUAAUUAUGUUUUAAUAAUUGUUAUUUUCCUUAAUAUUUCUUGCACUGAAAACAAAAGAGAAUUAUAGCCAAUUAAAAUAAACUCCUGUUUGGUAAAACUUUUUUCAAAUUUUGAGCAGUUCAUUUUUUUUUUUAACCACACAUUUUAUUGCACCCAACAUGCAUAAUUUCAAAAAGAGUAAUGUUAUUUAUAGUCGCUCACUGUCACAGAAACCCUAUAUGGUAUACACGUAACAGAUAGUGAUUUGACAUUAAAUCACUAACCAUCACGUGUAUGCCAUCUAGGAUAACUAUAGUAGUGAAUGACUGUAAAUAACAUUAAUCUUUCAAAAAUCUUUGACAAACAAUAGCUAAAGCAAUAUGUUCAAUUACUGAUCACAAGUACAGUUAAUAGUGAUUGGCAUGCAUUGAUGAGUGGAGGGACUCUGAACAUCAUCAUUUAGUACAAUUCAACAUACCAAUUUUUAACGUUAAACAUAUUGCAUUACACAACUCUAAUACGAAGUAACAAGCAUGUGUUUGUAAGCACGCAUAAGGACUUGAAACACGAAGUAACAAGCAUGUGUUUGUAAGCACGCAUAAGGACUUGAAACACUAAUCUCAUCCUCGAGUCCUUAGUAUCAUCCUUUAGCAUCAUAUAUAUACAUCUAGCUUCUCUUGCUCUAUCCCUUUUACAUUCUUUUAUUUUCCAUAUUCUUGUUACUUAUUUUUCAUUCUUCUGCGCUAAAUGAAGAUUGAAAACAUCAAUUUUACAAGACAACAGUAGUAUAAGGAUUAAAAAAUGAAAUUAAAAAUAAUUGAGCAACCUGAGUUUGCUCGGUAUAUUUAAUAUUAUUUUAUAAUGUCACACACUAACAGUCCUAAUAUCGUACAAUUUUAUAUUAAAAACAGUCAUUCUAUAGACUACACAUAUACUUGGAUACAAGAAGUCUAAUACAAUUGAUGUACAGAAAUUGAACGUAUAUAUAUUGAAGUUGUAUAUGACUUCAUCUCCAACAAAUAGACACUGAAUAUAUUAAAAAUUAGAAUUUUGCUACUUAGCCCGAAUGGUUAAAAUCCUUUCACAUGUUGUGGGUCUCACGUGAGUAAAAAAGUCCCAAAAAAAGUGGGGCCCCCGCUAUUGUGAGAGUCGGUCACUUCCUCCGUAAAAAAAAUUCGAGUACUAUAGUGGAAUAAUGCAAUUUCUUGUAUAAAAUUUGAUCCAAUUUUCUUGGGUCAUUUGCAAAAUAGUGUCGGGUCGCCAAAAUGAGGUAAGGAUUAGUAGUAAAGUCAAAUAGUGAGCAGUGAGUCAAGUUUGAUGAGUCGUUGCUUCCUUCCAACCAUUAAUUGUUAAUAAUAUCCUAAAUUAAUUAUCUAUUUCUUAUCCUAAACUUUUUUAGACUUUCAGACCAACUAACAAAACUAGAAAUAUUGAACGAACGCAGCAGCACACGCUUAGUGGGUCCGUUUAAUGGUUAACUAGUCUAAGAUGUGAUAUAGUCGGCUACGGUUGCAAUUUAUUCAACCUUUAAUUAGGAACGAAACAUGUACCUAACUACAAUAAACAUUUAUUAAUUAUAAUAGUACUACUGAAAGUACCGUUUUCAAUGAAGUAUCAAAUUUAUUUAAUUGUCAAUUUAUUUCACAUCCGUGUCGGUAAAAGCACUAGUGACAUUAGGGUUGGAUAAAACUUUCGAAUCGAAUCGAUUGAAUUUGAUCCGACUCAAAUUGAACCGAAUUGAGCAAUUCUUUUUAAAUUAAAUACCCAUUCGGGCAUUUAAAACGAGAACCGACGAGUUGGAUUCGAUUCUCAAUUCUAGAUUAUGAAACGAAGAAUCGAAUCUCCCUAAUUUUCUAAUUUAUUUAUUUUAAAUAAGUCAAAUUAUUUUUUUUUUAAAUAAAUCCGCUAACUAGUUAAUUUAACUCAAAAUAAGAAAUAUGAUUUUCCUAUUUUUAAUUUUCAAUCCAAGUCCAACUUAUAUAAAUUUUACUCAAACCUGUCAUUCUAUCAUAGUACCGUUUCUACCAUUCUGAAUAAAUCAAAUUGAAGCCCGAUGACACCUAUGUUUAUUAUUGUGAGCUCGGUAUCUUUGGGUCCAACCGGACCAUGUUCUACCCUAAGUGACAAUAAAUUAUAUGUUCAAUUAUAAAUACAAUGAAUUAUAAUAUAUUGGUACUAGAUAACAUUGUUCUAUAGAGAAAUGAGAUAGUGUUGCUACGUUGAGCUCAAAACUCAAGUGGCAAUUAAGUGCCAUUGAGUACAACUAAAUGGUGAAAAGGUGUCAUUACGAAAAAUUGCCAUGGAAACUAAGAGCGGACAUGAUGUGGUUCAUCCAGUUCCAAUAAAAGUUAGACAUUAUCAAACUCCAAUUGAUAUCUACUAAUAAUACCAAAAUGAUUCUACGCACACUGACAGAAAACAAAAAACAAAUGAACAAGAAUUCAGCGCUCUACCCUUAGAGAUGACUUCUGGAUGGAGGAGUGUAACUAAUAGGGGUUUAGAUUCGGGACCUCCGGAUAUCGGAGAACCAGUGUGCCUAGCGUACCGAACUCAAUUGAUUAAUUUCGAUUCAAUCUUGUAAGUGCGAAACUUGAGUCCAUACAUCAUCUUUUGACAUAUCUAUUCUUGUUUUAUCCACUUUUCUUAUUACAAUUUUGCUAAAUAAAAAGAAUGAGACGGUGCUUCCAACCAUUGGUUAUUGCUAUUAUCCUUAAUUAUCUUUUUCUUAUCCUAAAUGUUUCAAAGUUUAGACCGGCUAACAAAACUAGAAAUUACUUGUUAAAAAAAAAAAAAAAUGAUAGAUAUGUGGGAACAAUUGAGCUAAAGAAGGUGAUUUAUUGACACGUGGAAAAUCAUUAGAAAUUACACACGCUUUGUGGGUCCUAUUUAAUGGUUAAAUAGUCUAACUGAGGUGGUUGCAAUUUAAUAAAACUUUUAAAAUUCUUUGCUAAGACAUGCAUCCAGCUUUAGGUCCCGUUUGAUAAUUGAUUUUUGACCUUAAGAAAAAAGUGGGAGCCACCUGUGAGAGAAGAAGUCAAACUUUACGGCUGAAAUAGUGAAAUAACGGUCAAAAAAUCAAUUUUUUUAAAUGAAAAAUCACUCUCAAACGGCCCCUUACUAAACAUAUAACUAUUUAUUUAGAGGAAUGUACAUACAAAAUUUACAUAUUUGUAUUAUUUAAUUUUAUAUACACUUUAACUGUUAAGUGAAAACUAUAAUAACGAGAUCAAAAAAUUAUAAUAGUGAGAAAAUUAUGUAAUGUUAUAACAAUUGAGCUCAAAACUUGAAUGCUAAUUAUGUAUCGCUAAGUAAAAUUACACGAACAAAUGAAAAUUCACUUGAUAUUGAAAGUAAAAUUGUCACCACGUAAAUUUUGCCAUAAUAAUUGGAAGUGUACAUCGUUGGAUAAGGGUCUAUUUUUAAUUAAAAAAUUAAGAACUGAACUAGUCAAAUACAAAUUGAAAUCUAGCUAAUAUCUCUUAAUAAUUAACAUAAAUUAGUUCAAUGGUUGAUUUAGUGAAUGUUUUGUUGGUGUUUAAGUAAUAAUUUUAGCAAUUAUAAAUUGUAGGUUUAAUAGAAUUAAUGAGUAAUAAGUGAAUGAUAAUUAUGAAUCCAACAAACGCUUGUUUGAAUUUCAUUAUAAUAUAUAUAUACACUCUCCUUUUCACUGUAAUCACAUUACAACCUUUUUCAAAACAAAAGUAUUUAUGUUUGACUAAAAGUGAUUCUAUAAUAAAUCACCAACAAAUUCUUUAUGUAACAGGGACAUUAGACUCUUUAAUAUCCAAUUUUAAAAUGCAGUGUUAUAUAGCACUUUUUUUUUUCUUCGCUCUCCCAUCUUUCAAAUCCACACAUUAUAUAAAUAUUCGUACAUGGACUUCGAGACUAUUGUUAUACAUUUUUUAACAGAAGCCCUAGAUGGGUCUCACGUAGUAGUCCCACAUGGACAAAGUCCACAUGUGCGGACUCGCAGCCGCACCCUCGUGACAAGCCCAUAUUAUAGUUGAACUCAUGUGGUCGGACCCCUCAGGAAAGGGGGGCGAGGUUCUUUAGCAGAAGACUCUCCAAAAUCAAAUAUAUUGAAAUGAUGGAUGUGACACCUCCCUGCCAUCGUCGCUACAGUCAAUCUCUUUGGCCAAAUUUACUGCCACUGGCUACAAACUUAUGAAAGGAGAGUAGGUAUUAGCAUUAAUAUUUUGUGAUCGAUUGAUGCCCAUGAUGGGAAGCUAUACUCACAUGGAUGAGGCCACAUGUCUUAUCAUCCGAUGGUCCAUACUCGUUACCUCAUGCCAUAAAAGUUCACACUUAGUGUCAUUUAAAAGUAAUGCAAGUGUAGACUUUGAUAGCAUAAUUCAGCUUUUCAUUUUUCCUAAGAUCGACCCCCUUUAUUCUGCAUUGGAGACUCACAUCAAAGUCCUCCCACACUCAAUAUACAUUUUCUCCAACUAAUUUGAUCAUCGAAGUGCACGCGACCGUUUCCACCCCCAUCGAAAAGGGCCACAUGAGUCUAACAGGUUGCCUUAGUGUCUAGGAACACGACUUGUUUGAACGCGAGAAGUCUUGGAAUCUUAGAAUCUGUUGGCCACGUUAGGGGUGCAUCUUUUGAGGUCAACAUGCAGGAUUAAUAAAAUUUUAUUGAAACGAUAACUAAAUAUUUAUCAUUACUAACUAUUUAUUUACCCAUACAUUAAGGCACUGUUUGUGGCCCUUUAAUUUCAAAAAUUGGAGUGUGGAAUAGUGAUUGAUGUUGACAUGUGUGGUUGAAAUUUUUUUUAUUUAUAUAUAAUAUUAUUUUAAUAAAGAAUAUGUGGUUGAAAAUGAAUAUUGUAGAAAAAAUAAUGUGAUAGAAUGUGGGAGAAUGAUUGACAAACAAGGGCUAAGUUAAAUCCAUUGGCCGUUUUCUUUAAAAAAAACAUUUAGGCCCUGUUUGAUAGUUAGAAAUUUUCCAUGGAAAAUAGAAAAUAAAACUCAUUUUUCAUCUUUUGGCAGUUUAAUACCCUUUUUUCCCCAAGAAAUUCAUUUUCUUGGUUGUCUGGGGAAGCAGCAAUUUUCUAGGUUUUCCUCGAAUUAUAGGCCACUGUAGCGAUUUUAUUUUUUUUAAUUUUUUUUUACAAUGGAAACAAAUUUUAAGAAUUAUUGUAAAAAAAAUAUUUCUCUUUAAUUGACAAUUUUCAUGUAAAAUAAAGUCAAGCGAACACCAAAAGAUAGAUAUUUUCUUCAAUUUUUUUCUGGCAAAGAAAACAAAUUUCAUCUCAAUACCAGCAAAUUUCAACCAUUUGAUUGACAAUUUUCAUAUAAAACAAGCUCAAACGAACAUCAAAACAUACUUUUAUUUCAACCUUUUUUCACAUAAAAAAUUAUAUUAAUCAAACACGAUAAUUUAAAAUUUUCAAGAAAACAAUUUCUAGAUAUUUUAAUUUUCUAAAAUUCAUUUUAUUUCUAUCCAAAUUUAUCUUUGCAAUCAAACAUACGGUUAUAAUUUCCCCCAAAAAAAGAUAAAUGGGGACUCAUAUGAUUUUCUAGACUUUUUCAGUAAGUAGCCCCGUCCAUGAAGCUCCGGGCCAUGUGCAAACUUCAUUUUCGUUUGGUAUAAAAUAUUAUUUUUUCAACUACGAAAUGACGUCAUACGAUGUCGGCAAAAACUUGUCCUUAUUAGAUUACUCCACGUACUGUUACAUUUCAUUUUCCAUGCAAUACAUUAGUGACACCUACUCUCUAUCUCUCUCUCUCUCUCUCUCUCUCUCACUAACAGUUUUUUUUAAUCUUCGCCAGCUCUAUAUAACAGGUAGCCAUACCAGCUUUAAGGAUUCACAAAAUCAUCACACAACCUUGUAGCAAAACAAACAAAUACAUUCAAAAAACCCACCUGUUUUCAAUUAGUUCUCCAGUUAUUUACUCCCUUAGUUGCAAAAAAUUCAUAAAAUGGCUCGUGAUAUUCUCACCAGGACCGGCGCCGUUGGUGGUCUAGUUAAGGCCGCCAGUUUGUCUAGCCGUGCCUAUGUCACUUUCUUGGCAGGCAACGGAGACUAUGUGAAAGGAGUCGUGGGCUUGGCCAAGGGAUUGAGGAAAGUGAACACUGCGUACCCACUUGUGGUGGCUGUUCUACCGGACGUUCCGGAGGAGCACCGCCAGAUAUUGAUCAACCAGGGUUGCAUAGUGCGGGAAAUUGAACCGGUUUAUCCUCCGGAGAAUCAGACCCAGUUUGCCAUGGCUUAUUAUGUCAUCAACUACUCCAAGCUUCGGAUUUGGGAGGUAAAAAUCCUUGAAUUUUCUAGAAUCCAAUGGUCAUACUAUGCAAGUAUAUUUUGCACAUCAUAUGUUUGAUGAGAUGCUCAACAGAAUUAGUUUUUAAUUGCAGUUUGUGGAGUACAGCAAGAUGAUAUACUUGGAUGGAGACAUACAGGUGUUUGACAACAUAGAUCACCUCUUUGAUUUGCCAAAUGAGUAUUUCUAUGCUGUGAUGGACUGUUUUUGUGAGAAGACAUGGAGUCACACCCCACAAUUCAAGAUUGGGUAUUGCCAACAGUGCCCAGAUAAGGUCCAUUGGCCUCAAGAAUUGGGUCCUAAGCCUCCUCUCUAUUUCAAUGCCGGCAUGUUUGUCUUU
rnacentral:lncRNA from 1 species